rnacentral:lncRNA from 1 species
GGGGUUACUUCUCAAUUAUAAUUCCUUAUCAUGUUAUACCAGUUCCAAGAAAUAGUGGUUUCAAGCGGCAAUCCAUACCUCACUUCCUGAAUAUAAUCUCAACUUUAUGUUAUAAUACCCAUGAUAUAUGCAGUUGUAUUUCUCCCAGUUCCCGGUGCUAAGCACUCAUGCUAUGGCAUAUUUAUGUUGGAAUAACCCUCCG